AUCUAAAGCUCGGUAACUCUGGAUAGGAAGCAUUUGUCAUCCAUAAAAGUGUUGAUUCCAUCUCCAGUAAUCACCCACCCCUCUAAUCCAUCAUACUCCACCUGAUUAAAUGUAAAUCUGAUUAGUUCACAUAAGAACUAAGAACUUCUUAUUCCCUUUGGUAAACACAUCAGUCCAAUGACCUGGGCAUCAAGAGAAACAAGCUUUACACUUUACAGGGGAGAAUCAAUAAUCCCAAGGAUAUGCUGAUUCUAAGUGCUCACAGUCACCAGGAAGGCUGAGGGCAGUUUAUGAGAGAAAUCCUUCAUCUCUUACACUGCUCAGAGCCACAGAUUUGCUUGGUUAGCUGAUCAUGCUUCCUUCAGAAGGCCUAUCUGCUUAAUGCAACAGCUCAAUAAGGCAGCAUUAAUUUUAAUUAACAAAUUGCUUGUACACCUACAGCUCCAUCACAUUGUUGCCGUGGCCAGGGUUAGGAAAUUGUCCGAAGAAAAUAAAUUUGAAGCAACUCAGGCACAGGAAGCCUGGCUACCAGAUUGCCAGAAAAUGUCUUCAGGAUGGCCAGCGUGAGGCUUCCGCCAAGAUUUAUCAACAAAUGAGCCAGGAAAACCCCACAUCAUGGAACCAGGAACCAGGAAAAGGUAAAUUGAUCCAGACCUGCAUGCAUGCAGUAUUUGAUGUCCUUGGCAGCAGGAACCUGUGAUGGCAGCCAGGAUGAGCCCAC